CCUACGGGAGGCAGCAGUGGGGAAUAUUGCACAAUGGGGGAAACCCUGAUGCAGCGACGCCGCGUGAGUGAAGAAGUAAUUCGGUAUGUAAAGCCCUGUCAGCAGGGAAGAAAAUGACGGUACCUGACCAAGAAGCCCCGGCUAACUACGUGCCAGCAGCCGCGGUAAUACGUAGGGGGCAAGCGUUAUCCGGAUUUACUGGGUGUAAAGGGAGCGUAGACGGCAAGGCAAGUCUGGAGUGAAAGCCCGUGGCUCAACCACGGGACUGCUUUGGAAACUGUGUUGCUGGAGUGCAGGAGGGGUAAGCGGAAUUCCUAGUGUAGCGGUGAAAUGCGUAGAUAUUAGGAGGAACACCGGUGGCGAAGGCGGCUUACUGGACUGUAACUGACGUUGAGGCUCGAAGGCGUGGGGAGCAAACAGGAUUAGAUACCCCAGUAGUC
rnacentral:rRNA from 1 species